rnacentral:rRNA from 1 species
AUGAGAGAGAUGGAGGCACUGGAGAAGAAAGGACAUAGAUCCUUGGCCGAACCAGUGAAGCCCCCCUACAAUACCCCAUCAAGACACAAGCAUUCAGAGAGCGAUUUAGAGGAGAAAAAUGCAAGGAUGCAUAGCCUUCUUCGCAGAAAGCGUCUAAUCACCCAAAGCCGAAUGGUAGAAACUCAAACUCUCGUCUGCAGAACGAAACCAACAAGGGAAUCCAUCCCAAGAGUGACACGCAAGACACCCUGA